UACGGGGGGGGCAAGCGUUGUUCGGAAUUACUGGGCGUAAAGGGCUCGUAGGCGGCCAACUAAGUCAGACGUGAAAUCCCUCGGCUUAACCGGGGAACUGCGUCUGAUACUGGAUGGCUUGAGUUCGGGAGAGGGAUGCGGAAUUCCAGGUGUAGCGGUGAAAUGCGUAGAUAUCGUAAGGAAGACCAGUGGCGAAGGCGAAUCUCUGGACAGUUACUGACACUGAGGCACGAAGGCCAGGGGAGCAAACAGG
rnacentral:rRNA from 1 species